AUUGAACGCUGGCGGCAGGCUUAACACAUGCAAGUCGAGCGGGGGAAGGUAGCUUGCUACCGGACCUAGCGGCGGACGGGUGAGUUAUGCUUAGGUAUCUGCCUAUUAGUGGGGGACAACAUCUCGAAAGGGAUGCUAAUACCGCAUACGUCCUACGGGAGAAAGCAGGGGAUCUUCGGACCUUGCGCUAAUAGAUGAGCCUAAGUCGGAUUAGCUAGUUGGUGGGGUAAAGGCCUACCAAGGCGACGAUCUGUAGCGGGUCGGAGAGGAUGAUCCGCGACACUGGGACUGAGACACGGCCCAGACUCCUACGGGAGGCAGCAGUGGGGAAUAUUGGACAAUGGGGGGAACCCUGAUCCAGCCAUGCCGCGUGUGUGAAGAAGGCCUUAUGGUUGUAAAGCACUUUAAGCGAGGAGGAGGCUACUCUAGUUAAUACCUAGGGAUAGUGGACGUUACUCGCAGAAUAAGCACCGGCUAACUCUGUGCCAGCAGCCGCCGUAA
rnacentral:rRNA from 1 species